rnacentral:rRNA from 1 species
CAGCAGCCGCGGUAAUACGGAGGGUGCAAGCGUUAAUCGGAAUUACUGGGCGUAAAGCGCACGCAGGCGGUCUGACAAGUCAGAUGUGAAAUCCCCGGGCUUAACCUGGGAACUGCAUUUGAAACUGUCAGGCUGGAGUCUUGUAGAGGGGGGUGGAAUUCCAGGUGUAGCGGUGAAAUGCGUAGAGAUCUGGAGGAAUACCGGUGGUGAAGGCGGCCCCCUGGACAAAGACUGACGCUCAGGUGCGAAAGCGUGGGGAGCAAACAGGAUUAGAUACCCCGGUAGUCCCUGUCUCUUAUAC